rnacentral:rRNA from 1 species
CCUACGGGUGGCUGCAGUGGGGAAUAUUGGACAAUGGGCGAAAGCCUGAUCCAGCCAUGCCGCGUGUGUGAAGAAGGCCUUCGGGUUGUAAAGCACUUUCAGUGGGGAAGAAAGCCUUGGGGCUAAUACCCUCGAGGAAGGACAUCACCCACAGAAGAAGCACCGGCUAACUCCGUGCCAGCAGCCGCGGUAAUACGGAGGGUGCGAGCGUUAAUCGGAAUUACUGGGGGUAAAGCGCGCGUAGGCGGUCUGAUAAGCCGGUUGUGAAAGCCCCGGGCUCAACCUGGGAACGGCAUCCGGAACUGUCAGGCUGGAGUGCAGGAGAGGAAGGUAGAAUUCCCGGUGUAGCGGUGAAAUGCGUAGAGAUCGGGAGGAAUACCAGUGGCGAAGGCGGCCUUCUGGACUGACACUGACGCUGAGGUGCGAAAGCGUGGGUAGCAAACAGGAUUAGAUACCCCGUAGUC